rnacentral:rRNA from 1 species
UACAGAGGCCACAAGCGUUAGGCGGAAUCACUGGGCUUAAAGCGUGUGUAGGCGGGUUGGUAAGUACCUUGUGAAAUCCCACGGCUCAACCGUGGAAAGGCUUGGUAUACUGCCGAUCUUGAGUCAUCUAGGGGCAACCGGAACAGAUGGUGGAGCGGUGAAAUGCAUAGAUAUCAUCUGGAACGCCAAUGGUGCAGACAGGUUGCUGGGGAUGAACUGACGCUGAGGCACGAAAGCCAGGGGAGCAAACGGG